rnacentral:lncRNA from 1 species
AAAGCUGAAAUCUUUACUCAUCAUGUCAUCUUAUGCCCCUAAUGCAGGUCACUGGAAGCCCUCGGAUUCACAAGAUUUUUUGCACCUUAUGCCGUGACAUCUAGUUUUAAUAAAUUAAAUGAGCAAGUAAGAAAGAAAAAUGUUGGAUCUUGUGUGCAUCCGAGACUUAGGGUGAAACGGUUCCAGAAAAUUAACCCGUGUUUGUAACUGCUGCUCUAUGGGGUAUGGACGCAGCAGCUGAGGAGAUGGACAGGGGGUUUGCAGGGGUUCCAGUCCUUCCCUGGGGCCUUCAUUCCCCAGGCAAAGGCUCCCAGCAAAGCAAGAACAGGAACAUGGCGCAUGUCAGUUUCCAAAUCUGUGGUUAAUGUUU